UUUUAAAUUGCUGUAGUAUUUUGACUAUACAAAGGUAUUGUAAUAAGACUUUAAUUGAGUGCUAAAAGAAUGGAAUUACAAAAAAAGGCUUUUUUAAUUUUAAAAAUUAAAAUUAUUUUUUUUUGUGAAGAAACAAAAAUUUAAAUUAAAGACAAGAAGACCCUAAGAAUUUUUUUUUUUAUUAAAAUAAUAUUUUAUUUUAAAAAUUUAAUUGGGGCGAUUAAUUAAUAUUAAAAACUUUAUUAACAAAAAAAAUGAUCCAUUAUUAAUGAUUAUUUGAUUAAAAUACUCUAGGGAUAACAGCGUAAUAAUUUUUGAUAGUUCUUAUAGAAAAAAUAGUUUGCGACCUCGAUGUUGGAUUAGGAUUCUUUUUU
rnacentral:rRNA from 1 species